AGCUGCGUGGUGAGCACAGAGCGAACUAUUCUUUCGCCUUUUACUAAAGAAUACCGUGUGCACGCCACUCAAAGCAGCAUACGCCAAUUUUUUUAAGUGGGGUAUUUCCUUUG
rnacentral:snRNA from 1 species